AAAAAACUAAUAUAAUAAUAGGCUUAGAAAAUUGAAAAAAGAUUCUAGGUCUUCUACUACUACUACUAAAGAGUGAGAGACGCUGCCUUUUUCAUGAAAUGGAUUUAGAAAAAAAUGAAAGAAAUAGAAAGGAAAUGAAGAAGAGAGAGAGAGUACAUGACCGCCCAUAGGUGGUGGCUAACGAUGCUUUGAGCGUUUCCCUGUGACGGGUCUCAAUAAAUGUUUGGUGGCGAAGGGCGAUGAAGGCAGUGGUGCGCAACUGACUAGGAGUCCCACAAUAGACAUUCGCAUUGAAGGCGUCGAAGGUGGGGGUCGCCGAAUUCUUCGAGGCACGGUCGAUUGGAGAUUGAGGUUUCAAAAGAAGUUCCCUUUUCCUCUCUUCAUCUUCUAUGGACUAAUUUCUUCCCCUCACAAGUACUUUAUUUCUAUUUACAAGUUUUGCUUUGAUGAGAUAGUAGAAAGUUGUUUGAUGUUGCAAUGGUUGUUAUGGUGUCUAGAGGAGUGUGGUAAGGAAGAAGUGAUCACAUGAGUAUCAUUUUUGUCAUCCUCACUCCAAGAUCAUUUGUGGGUAAUCCCUUUUCAUCAUGGAAGAUUAAGGUGUCAACUUCUCCAGCUCAAAUUGGUUUUUUAAAUACUGAAGAAUUUAUUCAUUAGGAAUAGAAACAUUGGACAUGUUUUGUUGUUUUAUAAGUGUACUCUGAGUCGUUGAAGGACAUAUACUAUUCCAGGUUGUUGCUAUACUACUCAGAGGAUUAACAACAUUCUUAUCUUUAUGCUUCAUGUUCUAGUGCCACGUCACAUGUACUAUUCAUCAGAUGAUCAAAAUUCUUUCUUUGUAAUUUAAUCUCCAGUCGAAUAAUAAUUCUUUGUUAACUCUAA